AUUGAACGCUGGCGGCAGGCCUAACACAUGCAAGUCGCGCGGAGCGGCGGACGGGUGAGUAAUGCCUAGUAAUCUGCCUGGUAGUGGGGGAUAACGUCCGGCAACGGGAGCUAAUACCGCAUCCUAUCAGAUGAGCCUAGGUCGGAUUAGCUAGUGGGUGGGGUAAAGGCCUACAAAGGCUACGCACCGUAACUGGUCUGAUAGGAUGAUCAGUAACACUGGAACUGGAACACGCUCCAGACUCCUACGGGAGGCAGCAGUGGGGAAUAUUGGACAAUGGGCUAAAGCCUGAUCCAGCCAUGCCGCGUGUGUGAAGAAUGUCUUCGGAUUGUAAAGCACUUUAAGUUGGGAGGCGUUACCAACAGAAUAAGCACCGGCUAACUUCGUGCCAGCAGCCGCGGUAAUUC
rnacentral:rRNA from 1 species